UUUUGGGUGCGACCUCAAAAUUUUGAGUCUAAAAAUUUGAAGACCCAACAUUUUUUUGGCGCAAAGUUUUGGAUUUUAGAAAUUCAAAAGAAAAAAUCUCAUCUCAUAAGCAACAAUAUGAAAACCCAAACUGCUCUUCUCAUCUUUCAUUAGUACCGACUCACUGUAGCCACCGUCUCAGUCAAACCACGUACAAAUCUCUCAACGGUGAAACCACAAACCACAAACCACAAUCUCCUUCACAACCAUUCUUCAACAAGCAAGACCAAUAAUCUUCGGUGUUUCGUUUAAUUGGAGGCAAAGGAUCAGAAGAAGCUCUCACGGACCCAAUUCAGAUCCUAGCCCUUCACUAUCUAGGACUAUGAGGUGUUUGUAGAAAUGUCUAAGUGGAAGCGGUUGAAAUUUGCAGAGAAGUUAGGGCAUGCCAUUAGGUGUUUGCAUAAAUGUCUAAGCAAAUCACUUGAAAUUUGAUUGGUUUUCACUAUUUGAAACGGCUCUAUUUUCCUCUCAAAGUCACAUCUUUGAGUAUGUCAAUCAUUCUACAAACGAUGUGAUGUUGUAUUGGUGACUUUGAACUUGACACAUGAUGAUGAAGAUUGGAACAUCAAAUUGAAAUAAGGUUAUUGAGGAUUCAAUUGCGUGCUCAUUUGGGUUGGCACCUAUACUUGCUAUUUUCUGGGCUUGAAUCUCCUUGAGGUAAUGGAACUACAGCUGCCAUCCUUUUUUGACAAUUUUGAUCCCUGGGCUGCUGCUGCUAAUUUCCAUAAGUACACAAGCACUAGCCAUUGCUAGGAUAUGUACCAACGUCCAAGGUGUAGACAAAAGAAAAAUGUGUAUGGCAUAAUUCAUAAUUGGCAUUGGCCAACAUAUGGUUGAGAUGCAAGAGAAGUUGGCAAAAACGGUUGCAGUUUAAAGGCAUAAAGACUUUGGACUAACAUGAUUGCUUAUAGGGGAUGCAGGUGUCUUGAAGCUCAAUUUAGAAAUGAGCUCAUAUACUUGGAUACAUAUUCGAUACUUGACUAAUUUGUACUUUGUUUUAUAACAAGUAAUCCAGGGAUCUGUACUCAACAGUUUAUUUUUAUAUAUCAAGCAUAUUGU